AUGGAGAUUCCCAUGGGGACCCAGGGCUGCUUCUCAAAGAGCCUCCUGCUCUCAGCCCUUCCCUGUAACUUCCCACAGCCUCAAUCCUGGUCCUCUGGAUGCUCCAAGGCUCCCAGGCAGCUCUCUACAUCCAGAAGAUUCCAGAGCAGCCUCAAAAGAACCAGGACCUUCUCCUGUCAGUCCAGGGUGUCCCAGACACCUUCCAGGACUUCAACUGGUACCUGGGGGAGGAGACGUACGGAGGCACGAGGCUAUUUACCUACAUCCCUGGGAUACAACGGCCUCAGAGGGAUGGCAGUGCCAUGGGACAGCGAGACAUCGUGGGCUUCCCCAAUGGUUCCAUGCUGCUGCGCCGCGCCCAGCCUACAGACAGUGGCACCUACCAAGUAGCCAUUACCAUCAACUCUGAAUGGACUAUGAAGGCCAAGACUGAGGUCCAGGUAGCUGACUGCCUGCUCCGAGGGGCCAGGGAUCUCUGUCCAUCUUGUGCUCGGCUGUAUCCCCAGUGCCUUCAGUGACGCCCAGCACAUGGAUGGCGACCACAGAGAAGCCAGAAUUGGGCCCUGCUCAUGAUGCUGGUGACAACAACAUCUAUGAAGUGAUGCCCUCUCCAGUCCUCCUGGUGUCCCCCAUCAGUGACACAAGGUCCAUAAACCCAGCCCGGCCCCUGCCCACACCCCCACACCUGCAGGCGGAGCCAGAGAACCACCAGUACCAGGACCUGCUAAACCCCGACCCUGCCCCCUACUGCCAGCUGGUGCCAACUUCCUGAUGGGUCCUGGGCCAGGCCAGCCAGGGAGAAGACAAGGCCCCAGCCCUCCUCUGGGAGCCUCACACCUGAGACCAGCAGGACAAGGCCAUUGGGGGCUGUGGGGCCGAUGAGGUGGACUCAGCCAAAGACUCAGCAGCACAUGGGGCAGGUGUCCUGGCAGGGGGACAGGAGACUGUAACAGGCCCAGGUCCUUGUGCAGCCCGUGAAUGCACGCCCGCCUUCGGUCUGUUCCUUCAAGCAAGCUGGCCUGGGCCAUGUGCCUGUGAAAGGCAGGCUCUGGCCCCUUUCCAUGCCAAAGUCCCCCAAGAUCUGGAUAUCUGGGGACAAGAUGGUGGCCUCAGGCCUGCCUCCCAGGCAGUUGGCUGGGCUCCCAACUGUCUGUCCUCAAUGCCCUACCCCAACUCCACUAGUGACCCUCAGAGUCUUCUCCCCUUAGGACAAGGCAGACACCCCACCAUGCGGGCCUCAGGUGGCAGAGAGGCCCAGCCUCACAGGCCUGUGGCCCCACACACCAGUCCCAGCAAGGUGACCACGGCUGCUGGACCCCUUCCCUGUUCAGGCAGGCCCAGCCCCUCUCAGAACCUGCUGCCAGCUGCUGGUCUUGGCCCCCACCCUGAAUCUUACUGAGUCCCUCUGGGCAGCAGCUCCCUUCUCCACCCCACCCCAGCACCCGUCCCAAAUGUGGCCUCAGCUUGUCCUCCCCUUCCCCAAACUAUGCAUUCAUUCAGCAAUAAAUGAGCCUUUGCUGUAUGCCAGACCCAGUUCUAGGCUCUUGCAGCCCUGGUAGAAAGCAAAACAAAAACUCCCGCUUUCCCAGAGGGUCACUUGGCAGGGGAAAGAAUCAGGAAAUAAAAUAAAUAAUGAA
rnacentral:misc_RNA from 1 species